GACGAACGCUGGCGGCGUGCCUAAUACAUGCAAGUUGAGCGAUGAAGCUUGGUGCUUGCACCAAUUUGAAGAGCAGCGAACGGGUGAGUAACGCGUGGGGAAUCUGCCUUUGAGCGGGGGACAACAUUUGGAAACGAAUGCUAAUACCGCAUAACAACUUUAAACAUAAGUUUUAAGUUUGAAAGAUGCAAUUGCAUCACUCAAAGAUGAUCCCGCGUUGUAUUAGCUAGUUGGUGAGGUAAAGGCUCACCAAGGCGAUGUUACAUAGCCGACCUGAGAGGGUGAUCAGCCGCACUGGGACUGAGACACGGCCCAAACUCCUACGGGUGGCAGCAGUAGGGAAUCUUCGGCAAUGGACGGAAGUUUGACCGAGCAACGCGGCGUGAGGGAAGAAGGUUGUCGGGUCGUAAAACUCUGUUGGUAGAGAAGAACGUUGGUGAGAGUGUAAAGCUCAUCAAGUGACGGUAACGACUCAGAAAGGGACGGCUAACUACGUG
rnacentral:rRNA from 1 species